UACAGAGGGUGCAAGCGUUGUUCGGAAUUAUUGGGCGUAAAGCGCGUGUAGGCGGCCUUGCAAGUUGGGUGUGAAAGCCCUCGGCUUAACCGAGGAAGUGCGCCCAAAACUACGAGGCUUGAGUGCCGGAGAGGGUGGCGGAAUUCCCGGUGUAGAGGUGAAAUUCGUAGAUAUCGGGAGGAACACCAGUGGCGAAGGCGGCCACCUGGACGGUAACUGACGCUGAGACGCGAAAGCGUGGGGAGCAAACAGG
rnacentral:rRNA from 1 species